UUGAGUCUCCCUCAAUCUUCUCUAAAAAAAAUAAUAGUUAGAUUGCAAAUCAACUCUUAAAAAUUCAGUAUAUUGUAUCAUUUAAACUCUGUGCUAGACAACUCAAAAUAAACUUAAAUUUUUGGUUUGCCUUAGGUAUUUUUACCUCAGUUUUUACUGGAUUAAGUGUUCUUUACAUAGAAUUGAAAAUUCCAAAUCUCUUUUUGUCUCUUUGAAAACUCAGCUGGUAUGUUUUUAAGCAGUUCAUUUGAAACCUGUGUAGUCAGUGGACUUUUCAGUAGAGAGAGAAAGGGGGGGGGGAAGGGAAGGAUUAGAGCUGAUCAUCCACAAAGGAGUCAGUUUUACUCAACAAAUCUCUUCCUUAGUCUCAAUCUGUGAUGCAAAGGCUUGGUCCCACAAAAAAGAGGAAAAGGAAAAGCUAGAAAGCAAGAAUGCGAAUAUCGCUUGUAUUAUAUCUUCAGCGGACAAGGGGACCCUGAUGGACUUCGUGUGAUGCUAAUGGUAAAACCUAUUACUUAGUCGGAGAGCUGGUCAGAAAGGAUGCUGGUACCGACUUGCAAGUUACUGUGAUGAUUUCUUUCAACAUCCGAAAUAUUCGGUACGGCGGAGAUUACAAGUUUAAAAAGAAUGUCUUGGGAGACAAGUGAUUUCAUGAAAAAUGGCCAUAUCAAGAAAAAAAAUUGUCAUCCUCAGAAAGAACGAAAAAUCGGGGGUCGAUCCGCUACCGUCCCCCACCACACCCGCCUCUUAUAAACAAUUUUUUAAGUUAUGAUGACAGUUGUCUACCUUGUGGUAACAACAUCUGUCUAACACGCAUGUUUCUUUAGACAGACAUUUAGUUAUCUAAAAGGCAUGCGUUUGAAAUAAAGGUUACUACCACAAGGUAGACAACGUCUAUGAAGACUUAGAAACUGUCUGUAAGAGGUGGGUGUGGUGGGGGAUGGUGGACGGGACAUUUUUAACAUUUUCUGUUCCUCCAGUGAUUUAAAGAGAUUAAAUAACAACAGUUUGUAAUGCUUUAUUU